UACGGGGGGGGCAAGCGUUGUUCGGAAUUACUGGGCGUAAAGGGCUCGUAGGCGGCCAACUCAGUCGGACGUGAAAUCCCUCGGCUUAACCGGGGAACUGCUUCCGAUACUGGAUGGCUUGAGUGUGGGAGAGGGAUGCGGAAUUCCAGGUGUAGCGGUGAAAUGCGUAGAUAUCUGGAGGAACACCGGUGGCGAAGGCGGUUCUCUGGGCCUUACCUGACGCUGAGGAGCGAAAGCGUGGGGAGCGAACAGG
rnacentral:rRNA from 1 species